rnacentral:rRNA from 1 species
UACGUAGGGCGCGAGCGUUGUCCGGAAUUAUUGGGCGUAAAGAGCUCGUAGGCGGCCUGUCGCGUCAAUUGUGAAAGCCCGGGGCUUAACCCCGGGUCUGCAGUCGAUACGGGCAGGCUAGAGUGUGGUAGGGGAGAUCGGAAUUCCUGGUGUAGCGGUGAAAUGCGCAGAUAUCAGGAGGAACACCGGUGGCGAAGGCGGGUCUCUGGGCAACAACUGACGCUGAGGAGCGAAAGCGUGGGGAGCGAACAGG